GACGAACCGUACGAACGUUAUUCGGAAUUACUGGGCUUAAAGGGUGCGUAGGCUGCGCAGUAAGUUGGGUGUGAAAUCCCUCGGCUUAACCGAGGAACUGCGCCCAAAACUACUGUGCUCGAGGGAGACAGAGGUGAGCGGAACGUAGGGUGGAGCGGUGAAAUGCGUUGAUAUCCUGAGGAACACCUGUGGCGAAAGCGGCUGCACUGGGUCUCUUCUGACGCUGAGGCACGAAAGCUAGGGUAGCGAACGGG
rnacentral:rRNA from 1 species